rnacentral:rRNA from 1 species
AUUGAACGCUGGCGGCAGGCCUAACACAUGCAAGUCGAGCGGAUGAAGGGAGCUUGCGCCUGGAUUCAGCGGCGGACGCGUGAGUAAUGCCUAGGAAUCUGCCUGGUAGUGGGGGAUAACGUCCGGAAACGGGCGCUGAUACCGCAUACGUCCUGCGGGAGAAAGUGGGGGAUCUUUGGACCUCACGCUAUCAGAUGAGCCUAGGUCGGAUUAGCUAGUUGGUGGGGUAAAGGCCUACCAAGGCGACGAUCCGUAACUGGACUGACUGGAUGAUCAGUCACACUAGAACUGAGACACGGUCCAGAGUACUACGGGAGGCAGCAGUGGGGAAUAUUGGACAAUGGGCGAAAGCCUGAUCCAGCGAUGCCGCGUCUGUGAAGAAGGUCUUGGGAGUGUAAAGCACUUUAAGUGGGGAGAAAGGGCAGUAAGUUAAUACCUUGCUGUUUUGACGUUACCAACAGAAUAAGCACCGGCUAACUUCGUG